rnacentral:rRNA from 1 species
GACGUAGGGGGCCAGCGUUGUUCGGAAUUACUGGGUGUAAAGGGUUCGUAGGCGGUGCGGCAAGUUGGGAGUGAAAACUCUGGGCUCAACCCAGAGCCUGCAUUCGAAACUGACGAGCUGGAGUUCUGGAGGGGAAAGCGGAAUUCCUGGUGUAGCGGUGAAAUGCGUAGAUAUCAGGAGGAACACCGGUGGCGAAGGCGGCUUUCUGGACAGAAACUGACGCUGAUGCGCGAAAGCUAGGGGAGCAAACAGG